GCGCAGCAGGCGCGAAUUUUUCUCAAUGGGCGAAAGCCUGAAGGAGCGACGCCGCGUGGGGGAUGAAUGGCUUCGGCCCGUAAACCCCUGUCAUUUGCGAACAAAUUGACUCACCCAACACGUGUGUCAUUGAUUGUAGCGGAAGAGGAAGGGACGGCUAACUCUGUGCCAGCAGCCGCGGUAAUACAGAGGUCCCAAGCGUUGUUCGGAUUCACUGGGCGUAAAGGGUGCGUAGGCGGUUGGGUAAGUCUGACGUGAAAUCUCCGGGCCUAACCCGGAAACUGCGUUGGAUACUAUCCGGCUAGAGGAAUGGAGGGGAGACUGGAAUACUUGGUGUAGCAGUGAAAUGCGUAGAUAUCAAGUGGAACACCAGUGGCGAAGGCGAGUCUCUGGACAUUUCCUGACGCUGAGGCACGAAAGCCAGGGGAGCAAACGGGAUUAGAUACCCGUGUAGU
rnacentral:rRNA from 1 species